rnacentral:rRNA from 1 species
UACGGAGGGGGCUAGCGUUGUUCGGAAUUACUGGGCGUAGAGCGCACAUAGGCGGCUUUGUAAGUUAGAGGUGAAAGCCCGGGGCUCAACUCCGGAAUUGCCUUUAAGACUGCAUCGCUAGAAUUGUGGAGAGGUAAGUGGAAUUCCGAGUGUAGAGGUGAAAUUCGUAGAUAUUCGGAAGAACACCAGUGGCGAAGGCGACUUACUGGACACAUAUUGACGCUGAGGUGCGAAAGCGUGGGGAGCAAACAGG